CCUACGGGUGGCUGCAGUAGGGAAUUUUCCACAAUGGGCGAAAGCCUGAUGGAGCAACGCCGCGUGCAGGAGGAAGGCCUUCGGGUUGUAAACUGCUUUUAUCUGCGACGAUUAUGACGGUAGCAGAUGAAUAAGGAUCGGCUAACUCCGUGCCAGCAGCCGCGGUCAUACGGAGGAUCCGAGCGUUAUCCGGAAUUACUGGGCGUAAAGAGUUGCGUAGGUGGCAUAGCAAGCAGACAGUGAAAGCGUACGGCUCAACCGUAUACACAUUGCCUGAACUGCUAAGCUUGAGGACGAGAGAGGUUACUGGAAUUCCCAGUGUAGGAGUGGAAUCCGUAGAUAUUGGGAGGAACACCGAUGGCGUAGGCAGGUAACUGGCUCGUUCCUGACACUAAGGCACGAAAGCGUGGGGAGCGAACGGGAUUAGAUACCCUGGUAGU
rnacentral:rRNA from 1 species